rnacentral:rRNA from 1 species
GGUUAAUACCCUGUGUAGAUGACGGUACCGGAAUAAGAAGCACCGGCUAACUACGUGCCAGCAGCCGCGGUAAUACGUAGGGUGCGAGCGUUAAUCGGAAUUACUGGGCGUAAAGCGUGCGCAGGCGGUUUUGUAAGACAGGCGUGAAAUCCCCGGGCUCAACCUGGGAACUGCGUUUGUGACUGCAAGGCUAGAGUAUGGCAGAGGGGGGUGGAAUUCCACGUGUAGCAGUGAAAUGCGUAGAGAUGUGGAGGAACACCGAUGGCGAAGGCAGCCCCCUGGGCCAAUACUGACGCUCAUGCACGAAAGCGUGGGUAGCAAACAGGAUUAGAUACCCUGGUAGUCCACGCCCUAAACGAUGUCAACUAGGUGUUGGGAGGGUAAAACCUUUUAGUGCCAUAGCUAAC